rnacentral:rRNA from 1 species
UGGGGAAUAUUGCACAAUGGGCGCAAGCCUGAUGCAGCCAUGCCGCGUGUAUGAAGAAGGCCUUCGGGUUGUAAAGUACUUUCAGCGAGGAGGAAGUCGUUGUGGUUAAUAACCGCAACGAUUGACGUUACUCGCAGAAGAAGCACCGGCUAACUCCGUGCCAGCAGCCGCGGUAAUACGGAGGGUGCAAGCGUUAAUCGGAAUUACUGGGCGUAAAGCGCACGCAGGCGGUCUGUCAAGUCGGAUGUGAAAUCCCCGGGCUCAACCUGGGAACUGCAUCCGAAACUGGCAGGCUAGAGUCUUGUAGAGGGGGGUAGAAUUCCAGGGGUAGCGGUGAAAUGCGUAGAGAUCUGGAGGAAUACCGGUGGCGAAGGCGGCCCCCUGGACAAAGACUGACGCUCAGGUGCGAAAGCGUGGGGAGCAAACA